CCAAUCCCCCUGCCGCCUGCGAACGGAACAGUCGCGUCAACGUUUAGUGGUGCCUGGAUCACAUUUGAAUGAACAAAUGAAUAGGAGGCGAGACAAGCGGUUCGUGAUGGUGAAAUGGAUGCGCGAACCCAAACAGAACGAGGACCGAGACGCAUGUUCGACGUACUCGUAUAUGGAGAAAAAACAAUAUGUGCAAAAUUAUCACAUCCUCAUUAUUAACGUGAACAGCAACAACCGGAACAGGGAUUGGCCAUAACAAUCAUAUGAGUGAAACAGAACUGUUUAAAUGUAUGACCGCCAUCAUCGUCGCGCAGAGCAGACGACAUCGUACGCUACAAACGAAGAAAACAUCCUCAAUGUACUAUGGAAUGAAGAGGGCAAACAGCUGUUUUAUACUGUUAUUUACAGCAUUUCUAUAAUAAAGGGACUACGUAUAAAGAUAGAAACGAUUCUAGAGUAGCUGAUAUAGGACCAAGGACCGAUAGAAAAUAAACUAAUCAAUAGUAGUAGCAGCAGCAGCAGCAUGUGGGAUGUUGGUAAAGCUACCUGAAAAUUGUCAAUAAAGCUUAACAAUGUGUUCUGGACUUAGA